rnacentral:lncRNA from 1 species
CGACUGAACUAUAUCAUGGUCAUUUUCCUGUGACAUGAAUUAUUUUUGUAUAAAAUCAUCUUCAGUGGCUGCCGGGAUUUCCAGUUUCAGUUACCUGCAGCCAGCUGUGGCUUGGGAGCAGGAGAUCCUCCCGACGAAUUAACAGGAAGUCAAAGAUAGUCUACCAC